rnacentral:rRNA from 1 species
AUACGGAGGGUGCAAGCGUUACUCGGAAUCACUGGGCGUAAAGCGCGCGCAGGCGGGUAUUUAAGUUGGAUGUGACAGACUACGGCUCAACCGUAGAACUGCAUCCAAAACUAUUUAGGUAGAGUGUGGGAGAGGAAGAUGGAAUUAGUUGUGUAGGGGUAAAAUCCGUAGAGAUAACUAGGAAUACCAAAAGCGAAGGCAAUCUUCUGGAACACUACUGACGCUGAGGCGCGAAAGCGUGGGGAGCAAACGGGAUUAGAAACCCCUGUAGUCC